GUUAUUAGGUUUAGGGGGCAAUCACUUUUUCACACAGGGCCAUGUAGGUUUGGAUUUUGUUUUCCCUUAAUAAUAAAUAAGACUUUCUGUACUUUUUUUGAAAUCCUGACAGAAGAGAUUUGGGAACCUUGAUGACAGAGGCUGUUGAAAUCUUUUUGAAACCUUGAGACAAACUGUGACUUAAUCUGACAGUGGGUAUCUUGCAGUGCCCGAUGACGUGUACAUGCUGAAAAACUGAAUCUAGAAGUGGAUGUUUUGGUGCUGCAGGGUUACUGACGCUGUGCUGUAGAAAUGCUCUUUGGGUGUUUCCUGUUUAAAGUUUCCUGUUCAAAGUUUAAGUUCAGUUUGACUUCCUCUGAACGUCGAGUCGCAGAUAGUUUUCUCCUCUGAAGCUGCAGCUGAAGGUUCGCCUCUGUGGACUUUGGGCUCCUUAUCGAGGUUGAAGGUUCAGCUUUAUUGUCUUUAUACAACACAGGAUGGCACAAUACAAUACAGCUGUAGCUCCUCCACACUGCACACACAGAACAGAUCAAAGUGUGUGUGAGCUGAUGUGGAUGUGAGUUCAGCAGCAUGAAUCAGUGUGAGGA